GGGGGUAGAAUUCCAGGUGUAGCGGUGAAAUGCGUAGAGAUCUGGAGGAAUACCGGUGGCGAAGGCGGCCCCCUGGACGAAGACUGACGCUCAGGUGCGAAAGCGUGGGGAGCAAACAGGAUUAGAUACCCUGGUAGUCCACGCCGUAAACGAUGUCGACUUGGAGGUUGUGCCCUUGAGGCGUGGCUUCCGGAGCUAACGCGUUAAGUCGACCGCCUGGGGAGUACGGCCGCAAGGUUAAAACUCAAAUGAAUUGACGGGGGCCCGCACAAGCGGUGGAGCAUGUGGUUUAAUUCGAUGCAACGCGAAGAACCUUACCUGGUCUUGACAUCCACAGAACUUUCCAGAGAUGGAUUGGUGCCUUCGGGAACUGUGAGACAGGUGCUGCAUG
rnacentral:rRNA from 1 species